rnacentral:lncRNA from 1 species
GAGAUGGUAGAACAAGCAACCAAGUUAGGCUUCCAGAUUUUUAGUAGUAAUAUCAAUAUGUGUAGAAAAGCAGUGGGAAAGGAUGAUGCCCAACCCGUCCUUACUUCAGUGUAAAGUUUUGCACUUCAGCUAUCACGUAAUGUACUCCCACCUUACAUGUCAGCUCUAUGAUCAUAGCUUAUAUUCGUGCACAUUAUCAAAAAUCAUGUACACUUAUCAUUCCUAUUAUAAGGAGUUCCAAUUCACUCAGUGUUAUGAAUUAUGUUCCAUGAAUACAGAAAAUCCAAACUCAGGUCAUGCAACUCAUGACUCAUGUACUCAUGCUUUAUAGUAUGCUUAGUUCCUAUGACUCAUGCUACACUCCUAACGGUCAGCUAAAUUCAG